UACGGAGGGUGCAAGCGUUGUUCGGAUUCAUUGGGCGUAAAGGGUGCGUAGGCGGCGCGGUAAGUCGGGUGUGAAAUCUUGGAGCUUAACUCCGAAACUGCAUUCGAUACUGCCGUGCUUGAGGACUGGAGAGGAGACUGGAAUUUACGAUGUAGCGGUGAAAUGCGUAGAUAUCGUAAGGAGACCAGUGGCGAAGGCGGGUCUCUGGACAGUUCCUGGCACGCUGAGGGCACGAAG
rnacentral:rRNA from 1 species